rnacentral:lncRNA from 1 species
CCAAGUUCAGCUGUAUGCGGUCACCCUGAGAUUCCUUCCUACUUGAUUAUUUCUCACAGACUUAACCAAGAAAAUAUCGUUCUGGAAGAUUGCUAGGCAGGCUUUUCCAUUGCAUUGCAGGACAACUCAGAUAAUGCAGGUCCAGUCCUCUGAGUCAUCCAGUGUGGGCUGGAGGUUUGGAACCUGGAAAUGUCUGAUCUAGGCAAGUAAUAAGCUGACGUCAAAAGACUUGGUGCACAGGUCUAUUGAAGCACCUAAGAGGAAAGACACUUCUUCAAACCUCAAAUGCUCUUUACAUCCAGCAAAUCUGGACUGGAAGUCGUUCAAUAAGAUGACUUCCCAUGAAAUGUCUGGUACUUCAUGUUUCCCGUCAGGUCAUAAAUGCCACGAGAACAGCUUUUCCUCCUCCAUUUAAAUUUGUCCAGUGCCAGUUUUGGUCUUGUCCCAAAGCCAAAAACUUUGGAGACAUUGACAGAAAAGAAAGUAAUUAACCAUAUUGGAAGAGCCCAGAGAGUUCUGUGUAGAUUCUGCUGUAGAUGCUGAGUGUACUUUGUCUACUUAUUGAAAAAAGAAAAAAAAGUGAACUGUAAAACAGCCUCAAGCAGGUCCUUCAGGAGGUAUCCAGAAGAAGGCAUUGUCAUAGGAGAUGACAGCUCCAUGCGUGUUAUUGCUCCUGAAGACCUUCCAGGAGUAGGUGCAGAGGAAUCCAAGGUGUAGGGAAUGAAAGAGCCACAAGAUGUAAGAAACCUCAGUUCCUCAAUGUAGACAUGGAAGAAAGCUUCCGGGAGCAGGCUCACUGGAUUUGGUCACAUAAUGAUCACAGAAUAAACUCUUGUGGUCCCAUUCCACCAUGUGGAAGCUUUGUUCAAUGAACUGCACUGCUGCUCACUCUCCUGGUCUGUGGACUCUUUUUGAGCUGUAACACUCACUGUGAAGGCCCACAGCUUCAUUCUUCAAAGUUAGUGAGACCAUGAACCCAUCAGCAGAAAAAACUCCUGACUCAUUGUGAGGGCUCAUCCAGGAUUUCCAAAGUGGUGAUCACUUGAAGGAACACUGCCCCAGAGGGUGAAGGUUCUCUGGGCCAGAAGCUCAUGACCAGAUGAUCCAGCAACAGGACUGAGGGUGCCUGGGGCAAGCGCCAUCUGAUGUCAUCACCCUCACAGAGACCUGGAAUCAGUGAAACUACAAAUGGUACUGCAGAUGGAACCUCGGAUGACUUCAACCAGCACCUAUUAUCAAGGACCCCUAGACUAGCCUGCCAGCCCAUACCCAGAUAUUGACACCCAAACCACCUCUCAUGAGGAAACCUCAGCUGCAGGGACCCUUCUAUGCCCCUACUCAGCAGGAAGCAGUUUCAGCGGUCAUCGUCCCACACCCAACAGCAGUUGGGCUCUCCUGUUGAGAGGGGAGACUGAGGGGUAGAGUUGGUGGGACUUCCUGGGCCGAUUGAAGGACUUUUGCAAAAGACCCCUGUGACUCAGGGUUUUGAGUUCUUAACCAUUCGAGUGAAGGAUUCAAAAUUAACCACUCUGAGGGAAGAUUGAAAAAAGAACCACUCUCAAUGGGCAAAAAGAAAGAAAGGGGAGGGGGUAACAUAGGGAUAUAAGCCCUAGCCAUCCGAGCCAGCAACAGCAACCCUUCUGGGUCCCCAUCCACCACGUGGAAGCUUUCCCUUCACUUUGUUCAAUAAACUGCACUGUUCCUCACUCUCCUGGUCCAUGGACUCUUUUUGGACUGUUAACACUCACCACGAAAGUCUGCAGCUUCAUUCUUCAAAGUUAGCAAGACCACUAAUGCAUCAGCAGGAAAAACUCCUGACUGAAUAUGACCCAACAAUUCCAUACCUAAGUAUAUAGCCAAGGGAAAUGAAUUCAUAUAUCUU